UUGGAGGGCAAGUCUGGUGCCAGCAGCCGCGGUAAUUCCAGCUCCAAUAGCGUAUAUUAAAGUUGUUGCAGUUAAAAAGCUCGUAGUUGAAUUUCGGGGUUAGUAGGUUGGUCAUGCCUCUGGUAUGUACUGGUCUCACUGAUUCCUCCUUCCUGAUGAAUCUUAAUGCCAUUAAUUUGGUGUUUUGGGGAAUUUGGACUGUUACUUUGAAAAAAUUAGAGUGUUUAAAGCAAGCUAACGCUUGAAUACAUUAGCAUGGAAUAAUGAAAUAGGACGUUCGAUCCUAUUUUGUUGGUUUCUAGGAUUGACGUAAUGAUUAAUAGGGAUAGUUGGGGGCAUUAGUAUUCAAUUGUCAGAGGUGAAAUUCUUGGAUUUAUUGAAGACUAACUACUGCGAAAGCAUUUGCCAAGGAUGUUUUCAUUAAUCAAGAACGAAAGUUAGGGGAUCGAAGACGAUCAGAUACCGUCGUAGUCUUAACCAUAAACUAUGCCGACUAGGGAUCGGAUGAUGUUAAUUCUUUAAUGACUCAUUCGGCGCCUUACGGGAAACCAAAGUGUUUGGGUUC
rnacentral:rRNA from 1 species